rnacentral:snRNA from 1 species
AUACUCCAGUUUCUCUUCAAAACGUACAAAUCUUUCGCCUUUUACUAAAGAUUUCCGUGGAGAGAAAUAAGAACGAGUGCAAAACAAUUUUUUUAGGCUUCACAUUGGUGAGGCU